rnacentral:rRNA from 1 species
GACGAACGCUGGCGGCGUGCUUAACACAUGCAAGUCGAGCGGUAAGGCCCCUUCGGGGGUACACGAGCGGCGAACGGGUGAGUAACACUUGAGCAAUCUGCCCAUCACAUCGGGAUAACUCCGGGAAACCGAAGCUAAUACCGAAUACGACCACCUCCGGCAUCGGAUGGUGGUGGAAAGUUCCGGCGGUGAUGGAUGAGCUCGCGGCCUAUCAGCUUGUUGGUGGGGUAACGGCCCACCAAGGCUUCGACGGGUAGCCGGCCUGAGAGGGUGACCGGCCACACUGGGACUGAGACACGGCCCAGACUCCUACGGGAGGCAGCAGUGGGGAAUAUUGGACAAUGGGCGAAAGCCUGAUCCAGCAACGCCGCGUGAGGGAUGACGGCCUUCGGGUUGUAAACCUCUUUCAGCAGGGACGAAGCGCAAGUGACGGUACCUGCAGAAGAAGCACCGGCCAACUACGUG